rnacentral:lncRNA from 1 species
AAAGUUUGAGAAUAGGUUGAGAUCGUUUCGGCCCCAAGACCUCUAAUCAUUCGCUUGACCGGAUAAAACUGCGUGGCGGCGGGUGCCAGGGGAACCAGCUACUAGAUGGUUCGAUUAGUCUUUCGCCCCUAUACCCAGGUCGGACGACCGAUUUGCACGAACACACACGCUCAUGCUCCACCUCCCCGGCGGGGCGGGCGAGACGGGCCGGUGGUGCGCCCUCGGCAGGACGGGAAGAAGGACCGAGGCCUCGGGAUCCCACCUCGGCCGGCGGGCGCCGGGCCUUCAUCCUUCAUUGCGCCACGGGUGGCUUUCGU